AAUGGGCGCAAGCCUGAUCCAGCCAUGCCGCGUGUCUGAAGAAGGCCUUCGGGUUGUAAAGGACUUUUGUUAGGGAGCAAGUCCUGCAGGUUAAGAGCUAGUAGGGAUGAGAGUACCUAAAGAAUAAGCACCGGCUAACUACGUGCCAGCAGCCGCGGUAAUACGUAGGGUGCAAGCGUUAAUCGGAAUUACUGGGCGUAAAGGGUGCGCAGGCGGUAUUGGAAGCCAGCUGUGAAAUCCCCGGGCUCAACCUGGGAACUGAGCUUGUGACUGCAAGACUAGAGUACGGCAGAGGGGGGUGGAAUUCCACGUGUAGCAGUGAAAUGCGUAGAGAUGUGGAGGAACACCAAUGGCGAAGGCAGCCCCCUGGGUCGAUACUGACGCUCAUGCACGAAAGCGUGGGGAGCAAA
rnacentral:rRNA from 1 species